GGACCAUCAUGUCGGUCGUGCCUCGGUACGUACUGGUAUUGUUGGUUUCUCCCUUCUGACAAACCAUGAUGUCAUUAAUUUGGUGUUGUGGGGAAUCAGGACUGUUACUUUGAAAAAAUUAGAGUGCUUAAAGCAGGUUAUUGCCUGAAUACAUUAGCAUGGAAUAAUGAAAUGGGACGGCAUGGUUCUAUUUUGUUGGUUUCUAGGAUCACCGUA
rnacentral:rRNA from 1 species